rnacentral:tRNA from 1 species
GCCCGCGUAGCUCAGUGGAUAGAGCAACCGCCUCCUAAGCGGUGGGUCGGCCGUUCAAUUCGGCUCGUGGGCA